AUUGAACGCUGGCGGCAGGCCUAACACAUGCAAGUCGAGCGGAUGAGAGGAGCUUGCUUCUCGAUUCAGCGGCGGACGGGUGAGUAAUGCCUAGGAAUCUGCCUGGUAGUGGGGGACAACGUUUCGAAAGGAACGCUAAUACCGCAUACGUCCUACGGGAGAAAGCAGGGGACCUUCGGGCCUUGCGCUAUCAGAUGAGCCUGGGUCGGGUUAGCUAGUUGGUGAGGUAAUGGCUCACCAAGGCGACGAUCCGUAACUGGUCUGAGAGGAUGAUCAGUCACACUGGAACUGAGACACGGUCCAGACUCCUACGGGAGGCAGCAGUGGGGAAUAUUGGACAAUGGGCGAAAGCCUGAUCCAGCCAUGCCGCGUGUGUGAAGAAGGUCUUCGGAUUGUAAAGCACUUUAAGUUGGGAGGAAGGGCAGUAAGUUAAUACCUUGCUGUUUUGACGUUACCGACAGAAUAAGCACCGGCUAACUUCGUGCCAGCCGCCGCCGUAAAAC
rnacentral:rRNA from 1 species